UCAUCAUAGAGAAGAUAUUACUGUCAUUGUACUCUGAUCAAACUAAAAGGUCACAGAUUUAGUGCUGUAGAGUUUAUAGAGUGGUGCUAAUGCUUUCCAUCUUUUGAUGUCAUGCACUGGUACUGUUUUGCGACGCAGAUCAGGGACAUUGUGGUUCUUGUUGGGCUUUUGGUGCUGCUGAGUCGUUGUCUGAUCGUUUCUGUAUUCAUUAUGGCUUGAAUAUCUCUCGGCCAGCAAAUGAUAUCGUAGCAUGCUAGGGCUAUUUAUGUGUGGAUGGUUGUGAAUUGUGAUGGUGGAUAUCCAUUAGAACCUUGGAGAUACUUUGUCCGCAAGGGUGUGAUCACUGAAGAGUGUGACCCUUACUUUGAUAAUAAGGGAUGUUCCCACCGUGGAUGUGAACCUGGAUAUCCCACUCCUCAGUGCAAGAGGAAGUGUGUUAAAGAGAAUCUACUCUGGAGUUUUCCAAGCAUUUUGGCGUCAAUGCAUAACUGAUCAACUCCGAUCCAUACAGUAUCAUAUGUGAGGACAAUAAUAAUGCUUGACUGAAUUAAAUAGCAAAGUAUAAUUGAAAUUACUUUCUUUUGAUGGUGAACUGUCAAAUAAUUGUUGAUAAGCCGUUCGACAGAGUUCAAAAUAAUUGUUGGUCACCAACUCUACCUUUUUGAAUUCUAGUGUUACCAUCUACUAUGUUUGUGGAAAUAUUAGUGAUCUGUAGAGGUUUAUGUUCCAGGAUAAUUAUAUCCAUGACAAUGAAGAAGUACCAGUUAGAAAUUCCAAUGAUCUUCUUAAAUGCAUCUAGAGGUCAUUGUUUAAAUGCACUAAUUUCCCAGUCUGGAAAUAUUUGAGUCGUUUGUGCAUAAAUGUACUGCUUGUCAAUUGGUGCAUACUUAAGUAGUAGACUGCUUACUUUGUUCUUGCAUUUGCCUCAGCAUGGUGUCCUUGUGAAUGCAUCCUCUUUUAUUGGAUUUGUUUCUUUGUUCUUUCUGUUAUCUUCUCCUAAUUUUACCUGUGACCUUCAUGUACUCAAUGACAAACCGUUUCUCAAGCACAUGAUUUCGAUCACUACUAGUUUGGAGUUUACAAGCACAUAACUGGUGAGCAAAUGGGAAGCCCAUGCUAUUAAGCUCAUUGGAUGGGGAUCCUCUGAGGAUGGAGAGGACUAUUGGCUCCUUGCCAAUCAAUGGAACAGAGGCUGGGGUGACGUAUGUCUUGAUCUCACCCUUUUUCUUUCAACAAUUUACUUGAGCAAAAAUAGUUCCUUCUACUUCUACGAAAAAUAUUUAAGUUGUUGCCAUUGGUUUUACCCUUUCAUAGGAUUUCAGAAAUGACUAUAUUUACGAGGACUUUGAA